CAAGAACCAAGAAAUAUGAUGCAAGGAUGCAAAUGGUUUGAGCUAUCAACGAACGAUACAAUCAAACUACUCACUUGAGAGCCCCCCUUGAUAGUACGACAAUCUAUCCUAAAAUAGAAAAAUCUAUCAAGGGCAAACAUAUACCUUGCACCUAGCCUACUUAAGCUAGAUGAUGAUGACCUUGACUUCCUCAAGAUGGAC
rnacentral:lncRNA from 1 species